ACGUACUAAGAUUGGAACGUACUAAGGUUGGAAUAAUACAGAGAAGGUUAGCACAGCCCCUGUGCGAGGAGGACACGCAAAUUCGUGAAGCAUUCCAUAUUUUU